UAGAGUUUGAUCCUGGCUCAGAACGAACGCUGGCGGCAGGCUUAACACAUGCAAGUCGAACGCCCCGCAAGGGGAGUGGCAGACGGGUGAGUAACGCGUGGGAACAUACCCUUUCCUGCGGAAUAGCUCCGGGAAACUGGAAUUAAUACCGCAUACGCCCUACGGGGGAAAGAUUUAUCGGGGAAGGAUUGGCCCGCGUUGGAUUAGCUAGUUGGUGGGGUAAAGGCCUACCAAGGCGACGAUCCAUAGCUGGUCUGAGAGGAUGAUCAGCCACAUUGGGACUGAGACACGGCCCAAACUCCUACGGGAGGCAGCAGUGGGGAAUAUUGGACAAUGGGCGCAAGCCUGAUCCAGCCAUGCCGCGUGAGUGAUGAAGGCCUUAGGGUUGUAAAGCUCUUUCACCGGAGAAGAUAAUGACGGUAUCCGGAGAAGAAGCCCCGGCUAACUUCGUGCCAGCAGCCGCGGUAAUACGAAGGGGGCUAGCGUUGUUCGGAAUUACUGGGCGUAAAGCGCACGUAGGCGGAUAUUUAAGUCAGGGGUGAAAUCCCAGAGCUCAACUCUGGAACUGCCUUUGAUACUGGGUAUCUUGAGUAUGGAAGAGGUAAGUGGAAUUCCGAGUGUAGAGGUGAAAUUCGUAGAUAUUCGGAGGAACACCAGUGGCGAAGGCGGCUUACUGG
rnacentral:rRNA from 1 species